ACGAACGCUGGCGGCUGCUUAACACAUGCAAGUCGAACGGAGUGGCGCACGGGUGAGUAACGCGUGCGCAACCUGCCUAUGACAGUGGGAUAGCCUCGGGAAACCGGGAUUAAUACCGCAUCGGCAUAGAGGGGCUCGCGUCUGAUUAGUUAGUUGGUGAGAUAACAGCCCACCAAGGCGAGGAUCAGUAGCCGGUCUGAGAGGAUGAACGGCCACAUUGGAACGGAGACACGGUCCAAAAUCCUACGGGAGGCAGCAGGGGGGAAUAGUGCACAAUGGGGGAAACCCUGAUGCAGCGACGCCGCGUGAACGAAGAAGGUAUUCGUAUCGUAAAGUGCUGUCCUAUGGGCAGCAGUACCAUAGAAGAAAGCUCCGGCUAAAUACGUGCCAGCAGCCGCGGUAAUAC
rnacentral:rRNA from 1 species